rnacentral:rRNA from 1 species
GAUUAGUAUUUAUUUAUUAAUUUUUUUUUAUUUUUAGAUUAAAUUAUUAAAAUUAUUUAUAAAAAGUUAAGUUUUGUAUAGUUUAUAGAUAAAAUUAAAUUAAUUAUAGUUUAUAGUAAUGUAAAUGAAUAUUUAAAUAAAUUGAAAAAUUAUUAUUUUUAAAGAAUAAUUUAUUUUUAGUACCUUUUGUAUCAGGGUUUAUUAAUUAUAAAAUAAUUAUGUUAUUAUUCCCGAAUUUAUAAGAGUUAAUUAAUUAUUUAAGUUAUUAUAUUAAAAAUAUUUAUAAUAUUUAAUUAGAAAUGAUAAGUUAUUCGUUUAUAAAUAUAUCUGGUUUUUUAGAAAUGAAUUAAAUUCAAAAUUUUUGGUUGUAUAAUUUUUAAUUAAAAAAAUUAUGUUAUAAAAAUUUUAUAUUAUUUGGGAUAAGCUAAUUAAUAAAAUUAUNACANUAUCAUUAUAUUAUAAAUAAAAUAUAUGAUUGAGAUUUUUAUUUAUUUUAGAAAUUGUUAUAGAUUAUUAUAAUAAAUUUUAGUAUUUUAAAAAGUUUAAUUUUUUAUAAAAAUAUUAUUUUUAAUUUUAUAAAAUAAGUGAUAAUGAUAGAAUUAGUAUAUUUAUUUAUAUAUAUAUAUAUAUAUAUAUAUAUAUAUAUAUAUAUAUAUAUAUGUUUUGUGUGUAUAUUUAUUUAUUUUUGAUAGGUAUUAUUAAGGAACUCGGCAAAAAUUAUAUUUGCCCUGUUUAACAAAAACAUGUCCUUUAGUAAUAAAUUUGAGGUCUGAUCUGCUCACUGACUUUAGGUUUAAGAGCCGCAGUAUAUUGACUGUGCAAAGGUAGCAUAAUAAAUAGUUUUUUAAUUGAAAGCUUGUAUGAAUGAUUUGACAAAAUAUAAACUGUCUUAUUUUUAUUUAUAUUAAAAUUUUAUUUUUUAGUAAAAAAGCUAAAAUUUUUUAAAAAGACGAGAAGACCCUUUAAAUCUUUAUAUUUUAUAGGAUAUUUUAUUUUAAUUAUUAUUUUAAAUUAUUUUAUGAUUUAUUUUAUUGGGGUGAUAUUAAAAUUUAUAAAACUUUUAAUUUUUAAAAACAUUGAUUUAUGAAUAUUUGAUCCAAUUAUUUUGAUUAAAAAUUUAAGUUACUUAAGGGAUAACAGCGUAAUUAUUUUAGAGAGUUCUAAUCGAUAAAAGUGAUUGCGACCUCGAUGUUGGAUUAAGAUUACUUUAAGUGUAGAGGCUUAAAGGAUUGGUCCGUUCGACCUU